rnacentral:rRNA from 1 species
UACGUAGGGUGCGAGCGUUGUCCGGAAUUAUUGGGCGUAAAGAGCUCGUAGGCGGUUCCGUAAGUCGGGUGUGAAAAAUCUGGGCUCAACCCAGUGGAGCACCCGAUACUGCGGUGACUGGAGUCCGGUAGGGGAGUGUGGAAUUCCUGGUGUAGCGGUGAAAUGCGCAGAUAUCAGGAGGAACACCGACGGCGAAGGCAGCACUCUGGGCCGGUACUGACGCUGAGGAGCGAAAGCAUGGGGAGCGAACAGG